rnacentral:rRNA from 1 species
CCCCUAGAUGUUCUGGGCCGCACGCGCGCUACGCUGAACAGUUCAACAAGUCUUAACCUUGGCCGAUAGGUCUGGGUAAUCUUUGAACGCUGUUCGUGAUUGGGAUAGACCUUUGCAAUUAUGGGUCUUCAACGAGGAAUUCCUAGUAAACGCAAGUCAUCAGCUUGCAUUGAUUACGUCCCUGCCCUUUGUACACACCGCCCGUCGCACCUACCGAUUGAAUGGUCCGGUGAAAUCUCGGGACGGCGGCUUGGUCGCUUGCGUCCGACUGCUGAAACUUGAUUAAACCAUNUNAUUUAUNGGAAGGUGAANUCGUANCA